rnacentral:rRNA from 1 species
AGCGAACGCUGGCGGCAGGCUUAACACAUGCAAGUCGAGCGGGCAUCCUUGUGGUGUCAGCGGCAGACGGGUGAGUAACGCGUGGGAACGUGCCCUUCGGUUCGGAAUAACUCAGGGAAACUUGAGCUAAUACCGGAUACGUGCGAGAGCAGAAAGGUUUAUCUGCCGAAGGAUCGGCCCACGUCUGAUUAGCUAGUUGGUGAGGUUAUGGCUCACCAAGGCGACGAUCAGUAGCUGGUCUGAGAGGAUGAUCAGCCACACUGGGACUGAGACACGGCCCAGACUCCUACGGGAGGCAGCAGUGGGGAAUAUUGGACAAUGGGGGCAACCCUGAGCCAGCCAUGCCGCGUGAGUGAUGACGGCCUUAGGGUUGUAAAGCUCUUUUCUGCGGGACGAUAAUGACGGUACCGGAGGAAUAAGCCCCGGCUAACUUCGUG